rnacentral:rRNA from 1 species
GUCCACGCCCUAAACGAUGUCUACUAGUUGUCGGGUCUUAAUUGACUUGGUAACGCAGCUAACGCGUGAAGUAGACCGCCUGGGGAGUACGGUCGCAAGAUUAAACUCAAGGAAUUGACGGGACCCGCACAAGCGGUGGAUGAUGUGGAUUAAUUCGAUGCAACGCGAAACCUUACCUACCCUUGACAUGGAUGGAAUCCCGGAGAGAUUUGGGAGUGCUCGAAAGAGAACCAUCACACAGGUGCUGCAUGGCUGUCGU